UUAGCCAAGAAUGGCUUGCCUAUCUCCACUAUUUGGUUCAUCACUGGAACACACUUGGGGUUCUCAGAUGGUGGAUGAAAUAUGGAAGAUGGUGAGCCUUCUUGGCUAAGA
rfam:Oryza glumipatula chromosome 12, whole genome shotgun sequence.